rnacentral:rRNA from 1 species
AGUUGUUGCUGGUCCUCAACGGGGGCACGUGCACGCUCUGUUAACACAUCCACUCACACCCUGUGCACCCUCUGUAGUUCUGUGGUUGGGGGACCUGUCCUCCUGCUGUGGUUCUGCAUCUUUACACACACACACUGUAACAAAGUCUCAUGGAAUGCAUCUGCGUUUAACGCAAUACAAUACAACUUUCAGCAACGGAUCUCUUGGCUCUCGCAUCGAUGAAGAACGCAGCGAAAUGCGAUAAGUAAUGUGAAUUGCAGAAUUCAGUGAAUCAUCGAAUCUUUGAACGCACCUUGCGCCCUUUGGCCAUUCCGAAGGGCAUGCCUGUUUGAGUAUCAUGAACACCUCAACUCUUCAUGGUUUUCCGUGAUGAGCUUGGACUUUGGGGGUUUUGCUGGCCUAUGGUUGGCUCCUCUAAAAUGAAUCAGCUUGCCAGUGUUUGGUGGGCAUCACAGGUGUGAUAACUAUCUACGCUUGUGGUUUUCCCACCAGGUAACCUUCAGAGGUUCGCUGGAGCUCACAGAUGUCUCUCCUCAGUGAGGACAACCCUUUGAAUGUUUGAUCUCAAAUCAGGUAGGACUACCCGCUGAACUUAAGCAUAUCAAU